rnacentral:rRNA from 1 species
AGGACGAACGCUGGCGGAGUGCUUAACACAUGCAAGUCGAGCGGAAAGGCCCUUCGGGGUACUCGAGCGGCGAACGGGUGAGUAACACGUGAGCAACCUGCCCCUGGCUCUGGGAUAGCCUUCGGAAACGGGGAUUAAUACCGGAUAUUCACUGCUUCCUGCAUGGGGGGUGGUGGAAAGUUUUUCGGCUGGGGUGGGGCUCGCGGCCUAUCAGCUAGUUGGUGGGGUAAUGGCCUACCAAGGCGACGACGGGUA